rnacentral:lncRNA from 1 species
AUGCACGCCACCAGUUCACCCAGCGCGAUUUGCAGUACUGAGCUGGCCUCGAAAUCCUCCCCUUGUCAUCCCACAAGGCAGUCAGCCUGCUACCUGGGAAACGCCAGCCAACAGAUCCCAGCCCCGUGCUCCCACCGGCCGCUCUCAGCUCCCACCCGUGCAGCCAGGAGCUGCGGCCAGGAGCUGCCCUGGCAGCAGCGACCCCAGCCCCGCAGAGCCCACGCCGCCCUCCCCAGCUCCCGGCCUUCCCCUGCCCCACUCCCCACCUCCUGCUGCCGUGGAUGCAGCCCCGGGGCUGCCACAGCCGCCUCCUUUUUUCCCUUUCGGCUUCCCCCGCCCGGCAAACCCUUUUUUUCUCCCUCUGCCCACCUGGGCGGGGAGAGAGGGGGGGCGCCCCGCUGCCCACCCGGGGGGCGCCGCACCCCAGCUCCCCUCAACCGAGGAGCUGGGGGAGCCCUCCCCUCCCUCCCCUCCCUUUCCCUUCCCUUCCCCCUCCUCGCCGGGGGGGCCGAGGCGCAUCCAGCCCCGUCCUCGCCCUCCCCGCGGCGGGCAGCGCCCCCUGCCCUUCCCCUCACCUGGCAGCGCCCAGGCCCCGGGGCCAGGCCCCGCUCUCCCCCUCCAAACUUUGCGGGCGCCGCAUCCCUGCCCCUCACCCCCGGCAGCGGCCCUGCCCCCCCCCUCCUCCCACCCUCCCUCCCUCCCGGCGGCGGCCGCGAGCCGAGCGGCCCCGGGCCGGGCCGGGCCGUGCCGGCCGAGGGGCGGAAGCAGCGCGGAGCCGUGCGGGGAGCAGGCCGCGCCGAGCCUCCCGGCGGCAGCAGCGGGAGGAAGGAGGGGCCGCCGCCGGGGCCGGGGCCGGUGCGCCCGGAGCGCGGCCUGCUCGGCGGGGCGCAGCCCGGCCCCUCUCGCACGUACUCACCGCCGGGUUCGCCAUUACGCCAAGGCGGCGGCGGCGGCGCCCGGAGCCUCCCCCGCUGCCCGGCACGCACGGGCGGCCGCGGGGGGGAGCGGAGCGGGGCGGCGGGGGAUGCCCCGCGCCUGACAGCUCCCCGCCGGGCACGCGCGGCCCGGCGGCGGCUUCCCGGCGGCCCCACGCCCCCCUCCCCGGGCUCCCCGCGGGCGCUUACCGGGGCCGUGCCGGGGCCGUGCCGGGGCCGUGCCGAAGUUUCAGCCGCUCGCCGCCGCCGCGACCCCACCGGCCCCAGCGAGCCCGCGGGGCCGGGCCGGGGGGCUCAUUUGCAUAUUUCUCAGCCCCGCGCUGAUUGGCCGCGGCGCGCGGGGGCCGCCGCGCGCUGA